CUGAAGACUGUUGACUAGCUUUAGGCAACUCUUCUCCUUGAGCAGGUCUCUACUAAAAAAGGAUCUUGGUUGCUUUAACCCAUGGUUCUCAGCUACUUCUUCCAGUUGUUCUGAUGAAGUACAGACUUCUUAGGAGUCAGCCAACCACAGUUCUCACAACCCUGUCAGCAUCGAAUCUGAUACCAACUUUUAUUCCCAUUUCACAGAUUAUGAAAUGUAAAAUUCUCUUUUGAUCUUGAUCCCUGCCCACUACACUUUCCAUCUCUCAACUUGUAUGGGAACCAUUGAAUCACGGCCUGAACCACUGAUUGAUCACCUGAGGCAAGCACUGAGUCAGCCAUAGGAGCACAGGUGAAGGCAGUUCACCUGUGUGACUGGAAGGGGUGGAGCCUGGCUCCACCUCUCCUACACCCCAUUUAAGGGCUGACUGCCACUGGGGAAGGUUUGCUUUCUGGAAAUUGAUCCUUUUGGAGUUUUUUUUCUGGGAGUCUAGCACACAGUGAUAUCCAGCACAGAGGCAGAGCCUAAGCAGUCCAGGAGCAGUUCUGCAUCCAUAACGCCUAAGGAUGUGACACCAUAGUCUGCAGGAUGUUUCUUCUGUUACAAGCUCCUUAAAGAAACCUGAGAGGAAGGAAUACAUUGUUUACUUCGGCAUCGGCAUGCAAGUAACCC
rnacentral:lncRNA from 1 species